rnacentral:rRNA from 1 species
AAAGAGUGCGUAAUAGCUCACUAGUCGAGAGAUCCUGCGCCGAAAAUGUCCGGGGCUAAAACUUACCACCGAAGCUACGGGCUUGCGUAAGCAAGCGGUAGGGGAGCGUCGUAAUCGGGCUGAAGUCGUACCGUAAGGAGCGGUGGACUGAUUACGAGUGAGAAUGUUGGCAUUAGUAGCGAGAUGUAGGUGAGAAUCCUACAGGCCGAAUAUCUAAGGUUUCCUCAGGAAGGCUCGUCCGCUGAGGGUUAGUCGGGACCUAAGCCGAGGCCGAAAGGCGUAGGCGAUGGACAAUCGGUUGAUAUUCCGAUACCACUACCAUCGUUAUUAUCGAGGGUGUGACGGAGAAGGAUAGUGUGUGCUAGCGAUUGGAAAUGCUAGUCUAAGCGUUUAGGGAGUUACGGUAGGCAAAUCCGCUGUAACAAUUCUGAGGCGUGAUGGGGAAGGUCAUUAAGACCGAAGUACAUGAUUCCAUGCUUCCAAGAAAAGCAUCUAGAGAGAGAAGUAGUGCCCGUACCGCAAACCGACACAGGUAGAUGAGGAGAGAAUCCUAAGGCCGGCGGAAGAAUUGCAGUUAAGGAACUAGGCAAAUUGACCCCGUAAGUUCGCGAGAAGGGGUGCCUGCGAGAGCAGGCCGCAGAGAAUAGGCCCAAGCAACUGUUUAGCAAAAACACAGGUCUCUGCUAAAGCGUAAGCUGAUGUAUAGGGGCUGACGCCUGCCCGGUGCUGGAAGGUUAAGGGGAACACUUAGCGCAAGCGAAGGUGUGAACUUAAGCCCCAGUAAACGGCGGCCGUAACUAUAACGGUCCUAAGGUAGCGAAAUUCCUUGUCAGGUAAGUUCUGACCCGCACGAAUGGCGUAAUGACUUGGGCACUGUCUCAACUGCAAAUCCGGCGAAGUUGUAGUGCGAGUGAAGAUGCUCGCUACCCGCGAUUGGACGGAAAGACCCCGUAGAGCUUUACUGUAGCUUAGCAUUGAAUUCCGGUAUUGUCUGUACAGGAUAGGUGGGAGACUGGGAAACUAGGGCGUCAGCCUUAGUGGAGUCAACCUUGGGAUACCACCCUGACAGUACUGGGGUUCUAACAGGACGCCAUGAAGCUGGUGACUGGACAUUGUUAGGUGGGCAGUUUGACUGGGGCGGUCGCCUCCUAAAAAGUAACGGAGGCGCCCAAAGGUUCCCUCAGAACGGUCGGAAAUCGUUCGUAGAGUGCAAAGGCAGAAGGGAGCCUGACUGCGAGACCCACAAGUCGAGCAGGGACGAAAGUCGGGCUUAGUGAUCCGGUGGUACCUCGUGGGAGGGCCAUCGCUCAACGGAUAAAAGCUACCUCGGGGAUAACAGGCUGAUCUCCCCCAAGAGUCCACAUCGACGGGGAGGUUUGGCACCUCGAUGUCGGCUCA